CGCAUGACGAGGAUAUCGGUGCUUAAAAGAGAGAAGAAUGUAACAUUUCCGAAAUUUAAAAUCGUUUUAUAUACAGGAUAUAUUAGGGCAAAACUUUUUAACCCAGUUAUAACAUUUUGGACUAUGCUUAGAUUCAAAAGGUAAGAAAAUCAAACAUGUUAGCGCUAAAAUAAUUCUAAAAUAGACAACUCUAUGAAAAGUGGGG
rnacentral:lncRNA from 1 species